GACGAACGCUGGCGGCGUGCCUAACACAUGCAAGUCGAGCGAGUGAAUCUCCUUCGGGAGUGAAGCUAGCGGCGGACGGGUGAGUAACACGUGGGCAACUUGCCUCAUAGAGGGGAAUAGCCUUUCGAAAGGAAGAUUAAUACCGCAUAAGAUUGUAGCUUCGCAUGAAGUAGCAAUUAAAGGAGCAAUCCGCUAUGAGAUGGGCCCGCGGCGCAUUAGCUAGUUGGUGAGGUAACGGCUCACCAAGGCAACGAUGCGUAGCCGACCUGAGAGGGUGAUCGGCCACAUUGGGACUGAGACACGGCCCAGACUCCUACGGGAGGCAGCAGUGGGGAAUAUCGCACAAUGGGGGAAACCCUGAUGCAGCAACGCCGCGUGAGUGAUGACGGCCUUCGGGUUGUAAAGCUCUGUCUUCAGGGACGAUAAUGACGGUACCUGAGGAGGAAGCCACGGCUAACUACGUGCCAGCCGCCGCUGUAAUAC
rnacentral:rRNA from 1 species